CUGGUCUCAUGAUAGUGAGUGAGUUUUCAUGAGAUCUGAUGGUUUUUAAACGGGCUUUUCCCCCUUGGGUUGGCACUUCUCCUUCCUGCCAUCAUGUGAGGAAAGUCAUGUUUACUUCCCCUUCUGGCACGAUUGUAAGUUUUCUGAGUCCUCCACAGCCAUGCAGAAACUGUGAGUCAUUUAAACCUCUUUUUUUACAAGUUACCCAGUCUCAGGCAGUUCUUCAUAGCAGCAUAAGAAUACAGGAAAUUGGUACCAAGUAGGUUGCUGCUAUAAAGACACCUGAAAAUGUGGAAGCCACUUUGGAACUGGGUAACAGGCAGAGGUUGGAACAGUUUGGAGGGCUCAGAAGAAGACAGGAAAAUGUGGGAAAGUUUCGAACUUCCUAGAGACUCAGAGGGCUCAGAAGACAGAAAGAUGUAAGAAAGUUUGGAACUUUCUAGAGACUUCUUGAAUGUUUUUGACCAAAAUGUUGAUAGUGAUAUGGACAAUGAAGUCCAGGCUGAGGUGGUCUCAGAUGGAGAUAAGGAACUUGUUGGGAACUGGAGCAAAGGUGACUCUUGUUAUGCUUUACCGAAGAGACUGGUGGCAUUUUGACCCUCCCCUAGAGAUCUGUGGAACUUUGAACUUGAGAGAGAUGAUUUAGGGUAUCUGGUGGAAGAAAUUUCUAAACAGCAAAGCCUUCAAGAGGAAGCAGAACAUAAAAGUUUGAAAAAUUUGCAGGCUGACUAUGAGGUAGAAAAGAAAGCCCCAUUUUCUGGGGAGAAAUUCAAGUCAGCUACAGAAAUUUGCAUAAGUAACAAGGAAACAAAUGGUAAUCACCGAGACAACAGGGAAAAUGUCUCCACCUAGGAGAAAAAAGUGGGCUGGGCCCAGGGCCCCCCUGCUGUGUGCAGCGUAGGAACUUAGUGCCCUGCACCCCAGCUGCCCUAGCCAUGGCUGAAAGCGGCCAAGGUACAGCUCAGGCCGUGGCUUCAGAGGGUGCAAGCCUCAAGCCCUCGCGGCUUCCACAUGAUGUUGGGCAAGCGGGUGCAGAGAAGACAAGAAUUGAGUUUUGGGAACCUCUGCCUAGAUUUCAGAGGAUGUAUGGAAACACCUGGAUGUCCAGGCAGAUGCCUGCUGCAGGGUUGGAGCACUCAUGGAGAACUUCUGCUAGGGCAGUGUGAAAGGGAAAUGUGGGGUCAGAGCCCCACACAGAGUCCCCACUGAGGCUCCGCCUAGUGGAGCUGUGAAAAGAGGGCCACCAUCCUCCAGACCCCAGAAUGGUAGAUCCACUGACAGCUUGCACCAUGCACCUGGAAAAGCCACAGACUCUCAAUGCCAGCUGUGAAAACAGUCUACAGGGGAGCUAUACCCUGAAAAGUCAUAAGGAGGAGCUGCUCAAGGUUGUGGGAGCCUAUCUCUUGCAUCAGUGUGACAUGGAUGUGAGACAUGGAAUCAAAGUAGAUCAUUUGAAACUUUAAGGUUUAAUGACUGCCCUAUUGGAUUUCAGAUGUGCAUGGGGCCUGUAGUCACUUUGUUUUGGCCAAUUUCUCCCAUUUGGAAUGGGUGUAUUUACCCAAUGCCUGUACAUACAUUGUAUCUAAGAAGUAAUUAAGUUGCUUUUGAUUUUACAGGCUCAUAGUUUGAAGGGACUUGCCUUGUCUCAAGUGAGACUUUGGAUUUGAACUUUUGGGUUAAUGUUGGAAUGACUUCAGACUUUGGGGGACUGUUGGGAAGGCAUGAUUGUGUUUUGAAAUGUGAGGACAUGGGAUUUGAGAGGGGUAAGGAUCAGAAUGAUAUGGUUUGGCUUUGUGUCCCCAUCCAAAUCUCAUCUUGAAUUGUAGUUCCCAUAAUCCCAAUGUGUUGUGGGAGGGACUCAGUGGGAGGUAAUUGAAUCAUGGAGGUGGCUAUCCCCAUGCUGCUGUUCUCAUGAUAGUGAGUGAGUUCUCACAAGAUCUGAUAGUUUUAUAAGAGGCUAUUUUCCCUUUGCUUGGCACUUCUCCUUCCUGCCAUCAUGUGAAGAAGGAUCUGUUUUCUCCCUUCCGGCAUGAUUGUAAGUUUCCUAAGGCCACCCCAGCCAUGCAGAACUGUGAGUCAAUUCAACCUCUUUCCUUUAUAAAUUACCCACUCUUGUGCAGUUCUUUAUGGCAGCAUGAGAAUGGACUAAUACAAGAGGUAACAACCUUUUCCUGCAUUGGCUGAUUUUUAAUUUCAGUCUGUUCAAAACAAUCAAUAUGCCAAAGUUGUAUACUUUGGAGUGACAUGUCCUGAACUCCCACAGAGAUUAUGUCAUAAGAAAGGGGCAGAAGAAGCAUCACCAACUCUAAGGAACCAAAGUCUCUCCAGCCACCAAAAUGAAUGCAGCUGCCACUUAGGGGAAGUGGACAAGGACAGAACCACCCAGAGAUGAUGGUGAGAAAAGGCAGAAGGCCUGGGAGCUGGAAAAUGACUCCAUGGAGUAAAAGAUCACAGCAUCCUUUGGGACAAGACCGAUGUUCAUGACAAGGUAAUAGCAAAAUUAUUUUCUUUCUGAUGAGGCUCUGUUCUUAUACUCCCUCCCAGAGGCUGCAGGCCUGAUGGUUGUAAGCCUUACUGGGCAGAGAGACACCCAGCCCUGCCUAGAGGUGGUACUGAAGAAAGGGCUGGGGCUGCAUGAAAUUUUAAAUUUUAAAAACCAACUGAGAGCCAGUUUGCUCUUCAUUAUCACUGUGCCCCAAUACUUCUAAACAAUAUCAGUGACAAAAUAGUCUUCUAUGUAACAUCUUUUUAGGUCUAAAUUCUAGAUCAUUGCUAUGCUUUCUGUUGAGUUUUGUUUUAACUGGAGUAAAAUACACAUAACAUAAAAUUUACCAUCUUAACCAUUUUUAAGUAUACAUUUCAGUGCCAUGAAGUGCAUCCACAUUUUUAUGCAACCAUCACCAUCAUCCUUCUCCAGAACUUUUUUCAUUCAUUUUACAAAACUGAAACUCUGUAUCCAUGAAGCAUAACUCCUCAUUCUUCCCUGCCU
rnacentral:lncRNA from 1 species